rnacentral:piRNA from 1 species
UGCAGUGAUCGAGGUGAUACCGUGAG